GCCUUUGAGGAUGAAUAGAAAAUAACUUUCCUUCUUCCGAGAUGUUUCAUGCGGAAAUUUUUUGGAGACCUGAACUGAAGAAGCU